rnacentral:rRNA from 1 species
GACGAACGCUGGCGGCGUGCUUAACACAUGCAAGUGGAGCGACGAACCGGGGCUUGCCCCGGGGCAGAGCCGCGAACGGGUGAGUAACACGUGGGUAACGUGCCCCGAUGACCGGGACAACCCGAGGAAACUCGGGCUAAUACCGGAUGUGUCCUCUCGUCAUAAGGCGAGCGGGCAAAGGUAGCUUCGGCUUCCGCAUUGGGAUCGGCCCGCGGCCCAUUAGCUUGUUGGUGAGGUAACGGCUCACCAAGGCUUCGAUGGGUAGCUGGUCUGAGAGGACGAUCAGCCACACUGGGACUGAGACACGGCCCAGACUCCUACGGGAGGCAGCAGUGGGGAAUCUUGCGCAAUGCGCGAAAGCGUGACGCAGCAACGCCGCGUGAGGGAAGAC